ensembl:miRNA
GGUCACAAUCAACAUUCAUUGCUGUCGGUGGGUUUAACUUUGUGGACAAGCUCACUGAACAAUGAAUGCAACUGUGGCCCCA